rnacentral:rRNA from 1 species
CCUACGGGCGGCAGCAGUGAGGAAUAUUGGACAAUGGGCGCAAGCCUGAUCCAGCCAUGCCGCGUGCAGGAAGACGGUCCUAUGGAUUGUAAACUGCUUUUGUACAGGAAGAAACACUCCCUCGUGAGGGAGCUUGACGGUACUGUAAGAAUAAGGAUCGGCUAACUCCGUGCCAGCAGCCGCGGUAAUACGGAGGAUCCAAGCGUUAUCCGGAAUCAUUGGGUUUAAAGGGUCCGUAGGCGGUUUAAUAAGUCAGUGGUGAAAUCUGGUCGCUCAACGAUCAAACGGCCAUUGAUACUGUUAGACUUGAAUUAUUAGGAAGUAACUAGAAUAUGUAGUGUAGCGGUGAAAUGCUUAGAUAUUACAUGGAAUACCAAUUGCGAAGGCAGGUUACUACUAAUGGAUUGACGCUGAUGGACGAAAGCGUGGGGAGCGAACAGGAUUAGAUACCCUGGUAGUCCACGCCGUAAACGAUGGAUACUAGCUGUUCGGAGCAAUCUGAGUGGCUAAGCGAAAGUGAUAAGUAUCCCACCUGGGGAGUACGUUCGCAAGAAUGAAACUCAAUGAAUUGACGG